UGGGGAAUUUUGGACAAUGGGCGAAAGCCUGAUCCAGCAAUGCCGCGUGUGUGAAGAAGGCCUUCGGGUUGUAAAGCACUUUUGUCCGGAAAGAAAUCCUUGGCCCUAAUACAGUCGGGGGAUGACGGUACCGGAAGAAUAAGCACCGGCUAACUACGUGCCAGCAGCCGCGGUAAUACGUAGGGUGCAAGCGUUAAUCGGAAUUACUGGGCGUAAAGCGUGCGCAGGCGGUUUGCUAAGACCGAUGUGAAAUCCCCGGGCUCAACCUGGGAACUGCAUUGGUGACUGGCAGGCUAGAGUAUGGCAGAGGGGGGUAGAAUUCCACGUGUAGCAGUGAAAUGCGUAGAGAUGUGGAGGAAUACCGAUGGCGAAGGCAGCCCCCUGGGCCAAUACUGACGCUCAUGCACGAAAGCGUGGGGAGCAAACAGGAUUAGAUACCCUGGUAGUCCACGCCCUAAACGAUGUCAACUAGUUGUUGGGGAUUCAUUUCCUUAGUAACGUAGCUAACGCGUGAAGUUGACCGCCUGGGGAGUACGGUCGCAAGAUUAAAACUUAAAGGAAUUG
rnacentral:rRNA from 1 species